rnacentral:misc_RNA from 1 species
GAUGAAGAACGCAGCGAAAUGCGAUAAGUAAUGUGAAUUGCAGAAUUCAGUGAAUCAUCGAAUCUUUGAACGCACCUUGCGCCCUUUGGCCAUUCCGAAGGGCAUGCCUGUUUGAGUAUCAUGAACACCUCAACUCUUCAUGGUUUUCCAUGAUGAGCUUGGACUUUGGGGGUCUUGCUGGCCUGUGGGUCGGCUCCUCUCAAAUGAAUCAGCUUGCCGGUUUUUGGUGGGCAUCACAGGUGUGAUAACUAUCUACGCUUGUGGUUUUCCACCAGGGUAACCUUCAGCAGUGGAGGUUCACUGGAGCUUACAAAUGUCUCUCCUCUGUGAGGACAGCCCUUUGAAUGUUUGAUCUCAAUCAGGUAGGACUACCCGCUGAACUUAAGCAUAUCAAUAAGCGGAGGA